CACAGAUUCUUUCGAAUUCGUCCUUGGAAAUGGUGUAGCUGAGUGGUUGGGCUUCCGCCCCGGUUCCUGGUGUGAUGUCUCAUGGGCCAUGUAGUCCCGUUCCUAGUACUAUUGUGGCAGACGAAGAGGAAAACUUUGGUUUCCCACCGAUUCAGCCAGAAUCGGAGCCCCUGCACCUGCAGGAUGUUUGCCCUCAAGAAGUCAGCCAAACAAGCCUUGGGCAGAAUUCUCCCCCGUUCUCUCGCCGGGAUAAUUAUAAUCGAGAUAGAGGCGCUCGGGAGGGCAAACAUCCUGCAGGUGCAGGGGCUCCGUUUCUGGCUGAAACGGUGGAAAUCCCAUGUUUUCCUCCUCGUCUGCCACAAUAGUACUAGGAACAGGACUACAAGGCCCAUGAGACAUCACACCUAACCCCAGAAAAUGUGGAGAGAUGCUAUGUAAAGAAUCUCUGUAAGAGAUUUUGCUAUCUCAACUACUACCAUGUUUAUCUUAGCUACUGCCAUUGACGGAUGAGCACUGUUUUAUUCUGAGUUUGUUGUUGUUUCCAUGCUUAUAUGUUUUAUUAAAUUGUAUUUUAUAUUGUAUUUUAUUUCAUGUUCUGCUUUUUAGGCACCUUGUGCUUUGUGUAAGCCACUCCGAGUCCCUUCAGGGAGAUGGUGGCAGGAUACAAGAAUAAAGUUGUUGUUGUUGUUGUUGUUAUCAUCAUCAUGCAUUUCUUGGCUUCAAUCUUCAUCCAUUAAUCCACUACAAAGGGAGGCAUUUGGUUCAUUCUUUCCAGUCCUCAGAUGAUCCCACCCACCCAUCACACUGGUCACUUUGAAUCUGCAAUUUUUUAUUCUCUGUUUCAUAUAACCAACAGUAUAAAUGUUCUCUCUUCUCCCCAAAGGUUUUUCUGUGGUCUCUUUAACUCAGACAUCUGUCUAAAAAUAUUCUGGUGGAAUUCAGUGUCACGACGUUCAUAAUCAUUCUGUGACAUCUCACAAGCUCAGCUAAAUGGUGACAGAGGCUUCACUACCAAGUACCUAAUAAAAUGGGGACAUAUUCAUUUUUGAAGGACAACCUACUUCAAAAAAAUGUGUGUGCAAUCCAGUACAGAAAGAAUGGUAGCAAUCUUGUACUUGUUAAGAGUCAUUUUGUUCAAAGCAUCAAAAUAGUACAGAACCAUAGGUUAUUGAAUGAGUCUGAGUGAUAUUUGUUGUGUGAUUUUUCUCCAAUACAUGAACCUCAAAGAGCAUUUUACAAGUGGGCUGCAAUUGCAAUUCGGGGUUGAAGAGAGAGAAUGAUUCUUAAGAAAUGGCAAAUCUUCUGUGUCCGGCUUUUAAAGGAUGAGGAUGUUGCCAUACCAGAAAUUGCUUCACGUGAGCACCUUAUUUGUAAGAUUAAUGCCCAAACUGAGGAUUUUCUCUUACAAACACACAGAAGCAGACAUGCCCAAGAAAUAUAGCUGAAGAAAGAGGCUUGACUUGGUCGACAUGCUUCUCUCCCAACAGAGGCCUUAUUUUCUACUUUACUAUCAAAUAUUAAAUUUGUGCACAUUGAAUAAUCAGCUCAAAGAAAAUAAUUCGCAUAUAUAAUUUUCAGAGUGAUGCAAAUAUCUGACACAAAUAUCUCUGAAAAUCAAACUGAGGGACACGUGGGAUAAUAUGUCUAUCUGAGGCUUGGCAGAAAGCUCUGCAGUUAUAACCCCAAUACGAACUGGGAUAGGGCAUCUUCUAAUGCAAUGGUUCUCAACCUACCUAAUGCUAUGACCCCUUAAUACAGUUCCUCAUGUUGUGGUAACCCCCAACCAUAAAAUUAUUUUUGUUGCUACUUCAUAACUGUAAUUUUGCGACUGUUAUGAAUCAUAAUGUAAAUAUUUGAUAUACAGGAUGUAUUUUCAUUCAUUGGACCAAAUUUGGCACAAAUACCCACUACACUGAAAUCUGAAUACUGGUGGGGUUGGGGAGGAUUGGUUUUGUCAUCUGGGAAUUGUAGAUCCUGGGAUUUAUAGUUAACCUACAAUCAAAGAGCAUUCUGAACUCUACCAACGAUGGAACUGAAACAAACUUAUCACACAGAACACCCAUGACCAACAGAAAAUACUGGAAAGGUUUGGUGGGCAUUGACCUUGAGUUUUGGAGUUGUAGUUCGCCUAUAUCCAGCCUUCUCUGCCAAAGGGGUUCCUAAGACCAUCAGAAAUAUGUGUUUUCUGAUGGUCUUUGGUGACUGUUCUGACCCCCCCCCCCCCAGGGAUCCCGACCCACAGGUUGAGAAACACUCUCCAAUGUAAGGACAUCAAUGUGCCUAUAGUGCAAAAUGUGAUUUACACAGCCCUGAACCUGACAAUAUUAUAGUUCCUUCCACUGAUGGUGAUAGAAACUGAAAUAUUACUCGAAAUAGAAAAGCAGCUCCCUUACAAAGUAAGAAAAUAGCUAUACCUCUGCAAUGGAAACACUUCAGCAUUUGCUCACUCAGCUAUUAACAUUACUGUUUUUCUGAAUUAUCAUUCCUAAAUGACCUGAUCUAUCAUCAACCCAAAAAUU
rnacentral:lncRNA from 1 species